GCAGUCGAGCGGACAGAUGGGAGCUUGCUCCCUGAUGUUAGCGGCGGACGGGUGAGUAACACGUGGGUAACCUGCCUGUAAGACUGGGAUAACUCCGGGAAACCGGGGCUAAUACCGGAUGCUUGUUUGAACCGCAUGGUUCAAACAUAAAAGGUGGCUUCGGCUACCACUUACAGAUGGACCCGCGGCGCAUUAGCUAGUUGGUGAGGUAACGGCUCACCAAGGCAACGAUGCGUAGCCGACCUGAGAGGGUGAUCGGCCACACUGGGACUGAGACACGGCCCAGACUCCUACGGGAGGCAGCAGUAGGGAAUCUUCCGCAAUGGACGAAAGUCUGACGGAGCAACGCCGCGUGAGUGAUGAAGGUUUUCGGAUCGUAAAGCUCUGUUGUUAGGGAAGAACAAGUACCGUUCGAAUAGGGCGGUACCUUGACGGUACCUAACCAGAAAGCCACGGCUAACUACGUGCCAGCAGCCGCGGUAAUACGUAGGUGGCAAGCGUUGUCCGGAAUUAUUGGGCGUAAAGGGCUCGCAGGCGGUUUCUUAAGUCUGAUGUGAAAGCCCCCGGCUCAACCGGGGAGGGUCAUUGGAAACUGGGGAACUUG
rnacentral:rRNA from 1 species